AACGAACGCUGGCGGCAUGCCUCAUACAUGCAAGUCGAACGAGAAAGCGCCUUCGGGUGUGAUUAAAGUGGCAAACGGGUGCGUAACACGUGGGAAUCUACCUUUUAGUUUGGAAUAGCCCCGGGAAACUGGGUUUAAUACCAAAUACGCUCUACGGAGGAAAGAUUUAUCGCUAAAAGAUGAGCCCGCGUUAGAUUAGCUUGUUGGUAAGGUAAUGGCUUACCAAGGCUACGAUCUAUAGCUGGUCUGAGAGGAUGAUCAGCCACACUGGAACUGAGACACGGUCCAGACUCCUACGGGAGGCAGCAGUAGGGAAUAUUGCACAAUGGAGGAAACUCUGAUGCAGCAAUGCCGCGUGAAUGAUGAAGGCCUUAGGGUUGUAAAGUUCUUUCAGUAAGGAAGAUAAUGACGGUACUUACAGAAGAAGCCCCGGCUAACUUCG
rnacentral:rRNA from 1 species